UAAGUCCUCUGGGGAGCCGGUUGUCAUAAGGCCGUGGCCGUAACUUUUCCCCUUUCUGCUCCUCUGCUAAGCUGCAAUGCUGCAUGGAUAUGGAAGUCCUCCCCAGACGCUGUCCAGAUACAGAUGGCUGCCUGAUCAUGGACCUCUGGCCUCCCAAACUGUAGCUAAAUAAUCUCCUCAUUAGUCCAGGAACUUGCUCUUAUGCAGUGGUCAGGAUGGGAUCUAUCUUCAGGGCUGAAGACACUGCUGGACUGGACACAUGGGGAGCCUCCAUACAACAACUGCAAAGUUCUGCUGGUGUGUAAGAAACCCAGAGGAAGAAAACACUUAGAGGCAUGUAGACGGCAGAUGAACCCCUUUCCAUGUUGGUGACCAAGGCCAAAGGCAAUUUUGAAAUCCGCUUCACCAUGACAAUACUUUCUUUUUAUCUCCAACAAAUUUUGACAAGUAUAACUGAAAGAAGCAUCCAGAAAUGCAGCAAGAGAGACCUGGCAUAGACUGUUCUCCUGCUUAGCCAUCAGCAUCUCAUCAGCAGAAAGGUGAGACAUCCAGCCCUAUAAACACAGGAUAAUCACGGAGUCGUCUCGGUUCUCCCACGUGGCACCAAUUAAACUCAUUUCAAAAGCA